GAUGAACGCUAGCGGCAGGCCUAAUACAUGCAAGUCGAACGGUAAAUGUCCCUUCGGGGGCAUGAGAGUGGCGCACGGGUGCGUAACGCGUAUGCAACCUACCCAAUGCUGUCGGAUAGCCCGGAGAAAUCCGGAUUAACCCGUCAUGAGGAGCUUAGGGGGCAUCCCCUUGGUUUCAAAUAUUCAUAGGCGUUGGAUGGGCAUGCGUGCUAUUAGAUAGUUGGCGGGGUAACGGCCCACCAAGUCGACGAUAGCUAGGGGAUCUGAGAGGACGGUCCCCCACACUGGUACUGAGACACGGACCAGACUCCUACGGGAGGCAGCAGUAAGGAAUAUUGGGCAAUGGAGGCAACUCUGACCCAGCCAUGCCGCGUG
rnacentral:rRNA from 1 species